GACGAACUUUGGCGGCGUGCUUAACACAUGCAAGUCGAACGGAAAGGCCCUGCUUUUGUGGGGUGCUCGAGUGGCGAACGGGUGAGUAACACGUGAGUAACCAGCCCUUGACUUUGGGAUAACUUCAGGAAUCUGGGGCUAAUACCGGAUAGGAGCUCCUGCUGCAUGGUGGGGGUUGGAAAGUUUCGGCGGUUGGGGAUGGACUCGCGGCUUAUCAGCUUGUUGGUGGGGUAGUGGCUUACCAAGGCUUUGACGGGUAGCCGGCCUGAGGGGGUGACCGGCCACAUUGGGACUGAGAUACGGCCCAGACUCCUACGGGAGGCAGCAGUGGGGAAUAUUGCACAAUGGGCGGAAGCCUGAUGCAGCAACGCCGCGUGCGGGAUGACGGCCUUCGGGUUGUAAACCGCUUUCGCCUGUGACGAAGCGUGAGUGACGGUAAUGGGUAAAGAAGCACCGGCUAACUACGUGCCAGCAGCCGCGGUGAUACGUAGGGUGCGAGCGUUGUCCGGAUUUAUUGGGCGUAAAGGGCUCGUAGGUGGUUGAUCGCGUCGGAAGUGUAAUCUUGGGGCUUAACCCUGAGCGUGCUUUCGAUACGGGUUGACUUGAGGAAGGUAGGGGAGAAUGGAAUUCCUGGUGGAGCGGUGGAAUGCGCAGAUAUCAGGAGGAACACCAGUGGCGAAGGCGGUUCUCUGGGCCUUUCCUGACGCUGAGGAGCGAAAGCGUGGGGAGCGAACAGGCUUAGAUACCCUGGUAGUCCACGCUGUAAACGGUGGGUACUAGGUGUGGGGUCCAUUCCACGGGUUCCGUGCCGUAGCUAACGCUUUAAGUACCCCGCCUGGGGAGUACGGCCGCAAGGCUAAAACUCAAAGGAAUUGACGGGGCCCCGCACAAGCGGCGGAGCAUGCGGAUUAAUUCGAUGCAACGCGUAGAACCUUACCUGGGUUUGACAUGGAUCGGGAGUGCUCAGAGAUGGGUGUGCCUCUUUUGGGGUCGGUUCACAGGUGGUGCAUGCCUGUCGUCAGCUCGUGUCGUGAGAUGUUGGGUUAAGUCCCGCAACGAGCGCAACCCUUGUUCACUGUUGCCAGCACGUUAUGGUGGGGACUCAGUGGAGACCGCCGGGGUCAACUCGGAGGAAGGUGGGGAUGACGUCAAGUCCUCAUGCCCCUUAUGUCCAGGGCUUCACGCAUGCUACAAUGGCUGGUACAGAGAGUGGCGAGCCUGUGAGGGUGAGCGAAUCUCGGAAAGCCGGUCUCAGUUCGGAUUGGGGUCUGCAACUCGACCUCAUGAAGUCGGAGUCGCUAGUAAUCGCAGAUCAGCAACGCUGCGGUGAAUACGUUCCCGGGGCC
rnacentral:rRNA from 1 species